rnacentral:rRNA from 1 species
UACAGAGGGGGCAAGCGUUGUUCGGAAUUACUGGGCGUAAAGGGCGCGUAGGCGGCCCGCUAAGUCGAACGUGAAAUCCCCAGGCUCAACCUGGGAACUGCAUCCGAUACUGGAUGGCUUGAAUUCGGGAGAGGGAUGCAGAAUUCCAGGUGUAACGGUGAAAUGCGUAGAUAUCUGGAGGAAUACCGGUGGCGAAGGCGGCAUCCUGGACCGACAUUGACGCUGAGGAGCGAAAGCCAGGGGAGCAAACGGG